UUUAGAUCCCACACGAAAGUUAAUUAAGCAUGCAUGCAUAUCAAGGAAAAAAAGGGUAGUGAACUAGAAUUCUAAGCAAUACAAUUGAGUAGUUAAUUAAUUAAACCACAAAACCAGAUGCAAGUAAAAGCAAGUUUGGUAAUCUGUAAUGAAAUGCAAUGAAUUGUUCCAUCAAAUUUACAUUCCAUUCAAUUUAUUCGACAAAACUUUCAUAAAG
rnacentral:misc_RNA from 1 species